rnacentral:rRNA from 1 species
UACGUAGGGGGCAAGCGUUGUCCGGAUUUAUUGGGCGUAAAGCGCGUGUAGGUGGUGCGGUAAGUCUGUCGUGAAAUCUCCUGGCUCAACUGGGAGGGUGCGGUGGAGACUGCCGGACUGGAGGCACUCAGAGGCCGGUGGAAUUCCCGGUGUAGUGGUGAAAUGCGUAGAGAUCGGGAGGAACACCAGUGGCGAAGGCGGCCGGCUGGGGGUGACCUGACGCUGAGGCGCGAAAGCGUGGGGAGCGAACCGG